rnacentral:rRNA from 1 species
UGGAGGGCAAGUCUGGUGCCAGCAGCCGCGGUAAUUCCAGCUCCAAUAGCGUAUAUUAAAGUUGUUGCAGUUAAAAAGCUCGUAGUUGAAUUUCGGGGUCAGUAGAUUGGUCGUGCCACUGGUAUGUACUGGUCUUACUGGCUCCUCCUUCCUGAUGAACCGUAAUGCCAUUAAUUUGGUGUUGCGGGGAGACUGGACUGUUACUUUGAAAAAAUUAGAGUGUUUAAAGCAGGCUAACGCUUGAAUACAUUAGCAUGGAAUAAUGAAAUAGGACGUUCGAUCUUAUUUUGUUGGUUUCUAAGAUUGACGUAAUGAUUAAUAGGGAUAGUUGGGGGCAUUAGUAUUCAAUUGUCAGAGGUGAAAUUCUUGGAUUUAUUGAAGACUAACUACUGCGAAAGCAUUUGCCAAGGAUGUUUUCAUUAAUCAAGAACGAAAGUUAGGGGAUCGAAGACGAUCAGAUACCGUCGUAGUCUUAACCAUAAACUAUGCCGACUAGGGAUCGGAUGAUGUUAAUUUUUUAAUGACUCAUUCGGCGCCUUACGGGAAACCAAAGUGUUUGGGUUC